rnacentral:rRNA from 1 species
GAUGAACGCUGGCUACAGGCUUAACACAUGCAAGUCGAGGGGAAACGACGGGGAAGCUUGCUUCCUUGGGCGUCGACCGGCGCACGGGUGAGUAACGCGUAUCCAACCUGCCUCUGACUGAGGGAUAACCCGUCGAAAGUCGGCCUAAUACCUCAUGGCAUCGUCUGCGGGCAUCCAACGACGAUUAAAGAUUUCAUCGGUCAGGGAUGGGGAUGCGUCUGAUUAGCUUGUUGGCGGGGUAACGGCCCACCAAGGCUACGAUCAGUAGGGGUUCUGAGAGGAAGGUCCCCCACAUUGGAACUGAGACACGGUCCAAACUCCUACGGGAGGCAGCAGUGAGGAAUAUUGGUCAAUGGGCGAGAGCCUGAACCAGCCAAGUAGCGUGCAGGAUGACGGCCCUAUGGGUUGUAAACUGCUUUUAUGCGGGGAUAAAGUGAGGGACGUGUCCUUCAUUGCAGGUACCGCAUGAAUAAGGACCGGCUAAUUCCGUGCCAGCAGCCGCGGUAAUACGGAAGGUCCGGGCGUUAUCCGGAUUUAUUGGGUUUAAAGGGAGCGUAGGCCGUGGAUUAAGCGUGUUGUGAAAUGCAGGUGCUCAACGUCUGCACUGCAGCGCGAACUGGUUCACUUGAGUGUGCGCAACGCAGCGGAAUUCGUCGUGUAGCGGUGAAAUGCUUAGAUAUGACGAAGAACUCCGAUUGCGAAGGCAGCUUGCGGGAGCACAACUGACGCUGAAGCUCGAAAGUGCGGGUAUCGAACAGG